rnacentral:RNase_P_RNA from 1 species
UAGGUAAACGCUGCAAACUUGAUUUGUAGAGGAAAGUCCAUGCUCACACUAGCUGCAAUGCUAGUAGUGUUCACGCUUAAGGAAAAAAUAACUUAAGGUAGAGUAAUCUAACGGCUUCGAAAUAACCUCAAAUGGUUAAAUUAGAUAUAAAAGUGCCAAAGAGACGAGCAUUUUUGGAAACGAAAAUGGUGGAACGUGGUAAACCCCGUGAGUGAGAAACCCAAAAUAUGGUAGGGGAACUAACCUAGUAAGAAUUUUAAUGAACGGUUGGACUAGUAAUAGUAGAUAAAUGUUUACCGCCUUUUUUAAGGUACAGAACAUGGCUUAUU